ACACCAAAACAAACCUGGCGAGGGUUAGUAACAAUUUCGUUCCCGGAGAAGCAGGUGUUCACACGGGGUUUAUCGAGAAUGCUGACGUGGAAACUAUAAAUUUUCUUCUCCUGGUUAUGAACAUCAAAACAGCAUGAUUCCAGCAUCAGCUGUAGAGUGGUGAAGUCACACAAACAGAUAAUGCAUCACACAACUCAUCACUCAAGCCUUCAAGCAUAAUGAAUUUCCGUCAGAGAAUGGCAUGGCUAUGCCUAGCCUUUUACCUAGCAACUUCCUUUGCUGUUGUGUACUACUUCCUCGACAUUGCUGACCAGUAUGCUUUAUUUUCCCUAGAACAUUCAAAGCUGCACAAGUCAGGUGAUUCUGACAUUCCACUGUGGAAGUUCUGGCACCACAUUGGUGAUAUUCCAUUCCCUGUGUUAUUGGUACUGUUGGCUGUUCCCUAUUUUCAGGUUUUUGCAGCCCUCUUUUACUGCACUCUUCCUACAGCAAAUAAAAAUGUAAAUAAGUGCCUUGUGCCAGUUAUAGGUUGGAUAUAUAUGUUUCAGAAAGUUUUGACACUUUUCAAAGACCAUAAUGCUAAAAAUACUAUGCAUGAAAACUUACAUGUAGUUAGUAUGUCAUGAAUCAACACAUUUUCAGGGAAAGUUUUUGGUACACAUAUGUAAUGAUUUUCCUCUUAAAUGGAGAGUUUUGAAUGAAAUUAUUUUCUGCAGGCAGUUAUGAAAGAGAUGUGAAUUGUAUGAAUUAUAUUGAAUAGGAGAAAGAUUUUAAAAAUGCAAGAGAAUUGUGAUUUCCUCCCAUGCUGUCCAAUAUUAAUAUAGAUAUGAAAGACAUAAGAUGUAUAUAACACACACACACACACACACACACACACACACACACACACACACACACACACACACACACACACACACACACACACACACACACACACAUAUAUUAAAUUUACAUGUAUGUAUGUGUGUAAGUAUAUUUACGCAUUGAUGAAGAGAUUAUUGGCAUUUAGGUUAAACUAACCGUCCACUGUAUUAAAUUAUAUUGAUACAUUGUGAACUGAGCAAUUGAAUACAUCUGUGAUGAUCCAGUAGAAGGAUAAUUGUUCUUAAGUAUAUUUGUUUUAACAUCAAGGAAGCAUGAAUAUAUUUUUAUGGAAUUUUCAUUAACUCAUCCACAUAUACAUAUGACAUAUGUAUGAGAUUAAGUAGAGGCAUAUGCAUAUGUGUACACCAUCCCUUACACACAUACACAUUCAGUCAUGUAUCAAGUCAUGUUGUUCUUUUCCCAUCUUAAUUUCUUCUCUCCUUCUCACUCUUUCUCAUCUCCCAUCUCUCUCUCCUCUUUUUCUCUCUCUUUCCUCUCUCUCCCCACUCUCUUACCCUUUCCUCUCUCCUUUCUCUCCUUUCUCUCCUUCUCCUUCUCUCCUUCUCCCUCUUACUCUACCUCUUCUUCUACUCCUCCCUCUCCCUACUCCUCCUCUUUAUUCUCAGAGCCAUAUUCACACUUUAAAAACAUUGCCUAUACUCUCAUGUGUGUGGUUAGCAUACUGUAACUGUAUUCAGUCUGGAUUCAUGUAUGAGGACUUCCCGUAAUUAUUUGAGUCCUUUUUGUUUGCUUUCAUAUGUUCUUGGUAUCAUUAUAGAGUGAUCUAGUCAGUGUGACAACUUGAAUUCCAAAUAUUUAGAGAAAUUUUAUAUUUAAUUUUGAGUCGUUGCAAAUGGAAAGUACUUUGCUGGUUGUAUUACUGAAAAUUGGCAAUAUAUAAAUGUAGAUGGAAAGCAGAAUAUAUAAUUUACACUUACCAACAGUGUAAUUACUGAACGGUUGUAAAUUCUUACAAUGUAUAUGGGUGGCAGCAAUAGUCUUUUGUUUUGCUGUAGUUAUAACACAAGUAACUGUGCAUUUGUUGUUUUUAUAUAUAUAUUUUUUUAUACAUAAUCUGAUGUACCUUCUACCACCAGAUGAUUGUCACUUUACGUACAAAAUCUAUGCCACAUCGGAAGCAGAUACAUUUUUACGAUUUCACUUUGUUGGCUUGAGGAUAGUCAUUGCUCAGAUGUUUAUGAAGGUCUUUGAUAUGCAAGUCAGUUCAUGAUUCAUUCUGCAUUAUUUAUUGGUAUCGUACUAGUUGUUUAUGUACAAUGAGUAAUUUAUUCUCAUUUUCAUGAUUUUAUUUGUUUUUAUUUUUUUCUCUCCAAUAGUGAGUAUUGCUAUUUAGUAGUUGAUUUUGACAGACUGUGUGCUUGGCUGACUCACCUGUGAUACCUUUGAAUGAAGGUAAUUUUCACAUUUUUAUUUUACUUUCAAAAUGUCAAAAACUGAGUUGUAAAAUCUAUGAUCAUGUCACUAGAAAAUGGAAUCAGAUUUUCAUAUUUGAAAGCUUAUCGUCAAGCUCAGAAAUAAAGACCUAUAUCAGGCCAGGUUUAUUGGGCCGAUUUUCACACUCUUAGUUGUAAUUGUUAAUGGCUCAAAAUAGGUUCUAAGAAAAAGGUACGCAUUUUAUACUUUGGUCGUUCAGUGCCAGGAAAGGCACUGAUCAAUGAUUAGAAAGGCCUAGGAGACUGGAUGUAAAGCUCUUUGACAGCAGAUAUUUUGGCUGUGCAUAUUUAAAUGGAUUUAUCUGGAUGCUGGAUAACUGUAAUUAACCAUAAUGUUAUCUCUUCUCUAAACCCUUCUGCCCUGUAAUAGUGUGUAACUGUAUACAGUCUCCCCAAGAUGUAGGGGAUAGAUAACCUAUAAUCGGUUUCUCGAAAGUUAUGCCUUUUUUCUUUUCUCUUUUUACCAUCUAAAGCAGUUGCAUAUGACUUUCCAGUGCAUCUAUGACCUUAAAACAUAGGUUCAUAAAAUUGCUUACUAUGAUACAUUCCACUGCCACAAAGAUUCUUGAAAUUACAAUAACAUAGUAAGAAUAAGAGUUACCAGGUAUAUAGAGAUCCGAAUGUGCAGUUUACAUGUGGUUGGACUGAGCUUGAAUGCGAGUAAUAUUAUAAGUGUGCUGUAAAAGGGUAUUAAAAUUUUUUUACAUCUAUAAUUAAGCGCAGAAGAUUUAUUUGUUAUUAUUUCUGUAAUGUUAGAUGUGGUUUGCUGUUUUGUGUAUGUAAACUGGAUUCUUAACGUAAUUAAGUAUUUUGGAUUUUAUGUACAUGGAAAGGAUUAUGAUUACAAUAUUUUGAAUGUUU